GCCCUUGUAGUUCAACUGGAUAGAGCGUUCGUUUCCUAAACGAAAGGUUGCCGGUUCGAUUCCGGCCAAGGGCA
rnacentral:tRNA from 1 species